AUAGUCUAGAGUGAGGGAGAGGCAGAUGGAAUUGGUGGUGUAGGGGUAAAAUCCGUAGAUAUCACCAAGAAUACCCAUUGCGAAGGCGAUCUGCUGGAACUCAACUGACGCUAAGGCGCGAAAGCGUGGGGAGCAAACAGGAUUAGAUACCCUGGUAGUCCACGCCCUAAACGAUGUACACUAGUUGUUGGGGUGCUAGUCAUCUCAGUAAUGCAGCUAACGCAUUAAGUGUACCGCCUGGGGAGUACGGUCGCAAGAUUAAAACUCAAAGGAAUAGACGGGGACCCGCACAAGCGGUGGAGCAUGUGGUUUAAUUCGAAGAUACGCGAAGAACCUUACCUGGGCUUGAUAUCCUAAGAACCUUUUAGAGAUAAGAGGGUGCUAGCUUGCUAGAACUUAGAGACAGGUGCUGCACGGCUGUCGUCAGCUCGUGUCGUGAGAUGUUGGGUUAAGUCCCGCAACGAGCGCAACCCACGUAUUUAGUUGCUAACGGUUCGGCCGAGCACUCUAAAUAGACUGCCUUCGUAAGGAGGAGGAAGGUGUGGACGACGUCAAGUCAUCAUGGCCCUUAUGCCCAGGGCGACACACGUGCUACAAUGGCAUAUACAAUGAGACGCAAUACCGCGAGGUGGAGCAAAUCUAUAAAAUAUGUCCCAGUUCGGAUUGUUCUCUGCAACUCGAGAGCAUGAAGCCGGAAUCGCUAGUAAUCGUAGAUCAGCCAUGCUACGGUGAAUACGUUCCCGGGUCUUGUACUCACCGCCCGUCACACCAUGGGAGUUGAUUUCACUCGAAGCCGGAAUACUAAACUAGUUACCGUCCACAGUGGAAUCAGCGACUGGGGUGAAGUCGUAACAAGGUAACCGUAGGAGAACCUGCGGUUGGAUCACCUCCUUUCUA
rnacentral:rRNA from 1 species